rnacentral:rRNA from 1 species
AGAGUGAACGCUGGCGGUAGGCCUAACACAUGCAAGUCGAACGGCAGCACAGUAGGAGCUUGCUCUUACGGGUGGCGAGUGGCGGACGGGUGAGGAAUACAUCGGAAUCUACCUUUUGGUGGGGGAUAACGUAGGGAAACUUACGCUAAUACCGCAUACGCCCUUCGGGGGAAAGCCGGGGACCAGCAAUGGCCUGGCGCUGAUAGAUGAGCCGAUGUCGGAUUAGCUAGUUGGUGAGGUAAUGGCUCACCAAGGCGACGAUCCGUAGCUGGUCUGAGAGGAUGAUCAGCCACACUGGAACUGAGACACGGUCCAGACUCUACGGGAGGCAGCAGUGGGAAUAUUGGACAAUGGGCGCAAGCCUGAUCCAGCCAUACCGCGGUGGUGAAGAAGGCCGUUCGGUUGUAAAGUCCCUUUUGUAGGAAAGAAAGCUAUUACGGUUAAGUACCCGGUGUUCGUGACGGUACCCAAAGAAUAAGCACCGGACUAACUCGUGCCAGCACGCCGCGUAA